AUUGAACGCUGCGGCAGGCUUAACACAUGCAAGUCGAGCGAGCGGCGGACGGGUGAGUAAUGCUUAGGAAUCUGCCUAUUAGUGGGGGACAACAUCUCGAAAGGGAUGCUAAUACCUCCUACUAAUAGUUGAGCCUGAGUGGGUUUGGCUAGUUGGUGGGGUAAAUGCCUACCCAGGCGACGAUCCGUAGCGGGUCUGAGAGGAUGAUCCGCCACACGGGGACUGGGGCACGGCCCAGACUCCUACGGGAGGGAGCAGUGGGGAAUAUUGGACAAAGGGGGGCACCCUUAUCCAGCCAUGGCGGGUGUGGGAAGAAGGCCUUAUGGUUGUAAAGCAAUUUAAGCGAGGAGGCGUUACUCGCAGAAUAAGCACCGGCUAACUCUGUGCCAGCAGCCGCGGUAAUUC
rnacentral:rRNA from 1 species